ACUUUAAAAAAUUUUUCUUAUUAUGACUAGGUAAUCUUCGAAAAGAAGUAUUCAUUUUACAAAGAUUAUUUAUUCAUUCAAAAAGCAAUAGAAAAAACAUCAUUUUAUUGGACAAGUAUGACAUCACUGUAAGACUAUAAGAGAUAGCACUGUCAUUUUUAUACAAGAUAAAUAUUGCUAAAAUCAAAGAUAUGAACAAAUAUACUGAAAUUUGUGACAAAU